ACAUAUGAAGCAAAAGCCAAUAAAGCAGUAAGCAGAAAGCUAAGCUGCAGUCUGGGGGAAAAUGUGGGCCUCAAACAGUUUUGACUUAAUCAUGUGAACCAAACUGUAUUCACCUUCCUGGAUGUACAUUGAAAAUACUUGUCUGCAAAGGAGGAAUCACUGCAAUGACAUUAAUCUUAACUAAAAAUGCAUAACAACGUGAAAAAUGUAGUCUGAAGUAGAUAGAGAUACCGGGAGUAAUACUACAGGAUUCACAUCAAGUGGAUCAGUAUCUCAAGAUGCUUACCAAUAUUAUUAAAGUUGAUGUUAUUUUUGUUUUCAGAAUUUAGCAUAUAUAAGCCAAACUGCAGCUGCCCCCAAAAUAA